AGGACGAACGCUGGCGGCGUGCUUAACACAUGCAAGUCACGGGGGCUCGCAAGAGCAACCGGCGAACGGGUGCGUAACACGUGAGCAACCUACCGAUUUGUGGGGGAUAGCCGGCCUAACGGCCGGGUAAUACCGCAUACGCUUUCCGGGUCUCCUGACCUGGGAAGGAAACCUCCGGGGCAAAUCGAGGGGCUCGCGGCCUAUCAGCUAGUUGCGAGGUCACGGCUCACCAAGGCGACGACGGGUAGCUGGUCUGAGAGGACACGA
rnacentral:rRNA from 1 species